rnacentral:rRNA from 1 species
GAUGAACGCUGGCGGCGUGCCUAACACAUGCAAGUCGAACGGUCACACGCUUAGCUUUUUCGUGUGUGGGUAGCGGUUGCCGACCGGGUAGGAACUCGUUAGUAAUCUGCUCUCUCCUGGGGGAUAACGGCAGGAAAGUGAGGCUAAUACCGGAUAUUCUGUACCGGUCGCAUCAUGGGUUUUUGAGAGAUUUUGUGUCUGUUUGAGAUGGGCUCGUGUCGGAUUAGCUUGUUGGUGGGGUAAAGGCAUACCAAGGCUGCGACGGGUAGCCGGCCUGAGAGGAUGAUCGGCCACACUGGAACGGAGACAAGGCGCAGACUCCUACGGGAGGCAGCAGUAGGGAAUAUUAGAGAAUGGGGGGAAGCCUGAUGAAGCAACGCCGCGUGGGUGGAGAAGGACGUCGGCGUGUAAAGCACUUUUUUUGGGAAAGAAGAAGAGCAGCCUAAUUUGUGGGUGUGUUGACGGUACCUAAAGAAUAAGCGCCGGCUAACUACGUG